AAUCAACGCUGGCGGCGUGCCUAACACAUGCAAGUCGAACGAGAAAGUGGGGGCAACUCCAUGAGUAAAGUGGCAGACGGGUGAGUAACACGUGAACAACCUACCCUCGAGUGGGGAAUAACACCGCGAAAGCGGUGCUAAUACCGCAUAAUAUCUUUGAGUCGCAUGACCUGAAGAUCAAAAGCGCAAGUUGCUUGAGGAGGGGUUCGCGCCUGAUUAGCUAGUUGGUGAGGUAACGGCCCACCAAGGCGACGAUCAGUAGCCGGCCUGAGAGGGCGAACGGCCACACUGGAACUGAGACACGGUCCAGAAUCCUACGGGAGGCAGCAGUGGGGAAUUUUGCGCAAUGGGCGAAAGCCUGACGCAGCAACGCCGCGUGGAGGAUGAAGGCCUUCGGGUCGUAAACUCCUGUCAGUGGGGACGAAUGCCUCGCAAGAGGUUUGACUGUACCCGCUGAGGAAGCCACGGCUAACUCCGUGCCAGC
rnacentral:rRNA from 1 species